ensembl:lincRNA 4930478P22Rik RIKEN cDNA 4930478P22 gene
ACCUAGGAGACAGACCUUCAGUCAUGCCUGCCAAGGAUCGGUUAGCAUCCUAGCAUGCUUGUGGGAUUAUCUUGAUGGGAUUGAGGUGUGAAAACCCACCCUAAUAUGAGUGACUCCAUUCUCUGAGCUUGAGUCUUUGGUGGCAUAAUAACAAGGAAGAGAGCUAAGGAGCAGAACACAUCCCUCUGUCCCCUGACUGAAAGUGAAGUGACCAGCUGCCACCAAGACUUGCACAACAUAAUGGGCUGUGCCCCGAUACUGUGAGACAAAACCAACACUCCCCUAAAUUGCUUUUGUCUGAUAUUUCAUUGCAAAACAGGAAAAGAAACUAAGACGGGGCCUGUGGUUUUAUUUACUAAAUCUGUCUGUUCUGGGAGGUGCAGGUCACGGGUGCCAGCCCUUCUUCACCCACCUCAUCCCCAUCUUAAAGCACAGAGAAAGCUGGUCGAUGAGUCUGCUGACCAGCAGGGGGCGCCUGCCCAAUUCUGAUGGUUUCCUGCCUAUAGUUCAUGGAUGCAAUUUGGAGGUGGCCACUGGGUGGCACCAUUAUGUCACAUAUGCCUACUGAGAAUCCUGUUGACUGCUGGACAGGGGACAAGUCUGGAAUCCAAAGCCCUCAUCUGGACUGACUCUGCUAUGGGGACUCUGCAUGCUAACAGCCAUGCUGCUGCUGAUCCACCCUGCCAGGUCCUAGCCUGGCAGAAGUCAUUUUGCAGCAAGGAGAGACUAAGACAGCAGUGGGAUCUCAAGGAUCUGAGCUGAGUCUGAUGUCCUCGCUGUACAGAGUGUUGUGGGAACGAAAGGCUAAUCAAAAGCCAUGGUGCCUGAAACCCUUAAAGGACCAAAGUCCGGAGACUCAGGCUGGCGUUCACCUCCUGCAGUCAGUGUGCAUCCUGGGUAAGGCAGACGUGUCCAUCCACCUGUUGAAGGAGCAUCUUCAGGAGAUACUGAGCUCAUCACCCUCAGAGACCUCCAAGCAAGGUCCCAUCCGAUGUCCACGGGGAACACUGUGAGAAGCACUGAUGGGCUGUGGUUGCUGGGUGCAGGGACACAGAAGGGGUCACUGAAACUUGCCCUAAGCUCUGAAGGGUGCUUACCCCUAGUGGCUACCUGAUGCUCAGAGAUGCCCCAAGGCAGUCUUCAGACACCCGAUGCCUGGGCCUCACUUGCAGGCACACGGGGUCCCUUGGAGGGGAAACCAGGGCAGUGUGAGUGAAAUCCGAGAACAAAGGUGCGUAUUUGCUUACAAGCGGAGAGAAUCACAGAAUUGACACAUUCCUCACAAUUGACAAAUAGCACGGAUAUUGGAAGGAGAAAACCCGGAAAAAAUAACAUGUGAUUUUUAUUAGCAGUCUGGCAGGUAAUAAAAAUGGGGCUUGCACUG